UGUGUCAGUUAUACCAAUAUAAAAACACCAAAAUUGUCCAGACCAAACUCAAGUUUAUCCAUUAUUGCCUAAUUAAAAGUACAGCUGCCAAAAAGCUUGCUAAUUGCAUGAAAAGUAAAUAUGUUUGCCCCAUCACAAAGGUAACCAUCAGCUAAUAACUUAACUUUUGCAUGAAAAGUAAACAUGUUUGCCCCAUCACAAAGGUAACCAUCAGCUAAUAACUUAACUUUUCCUUAUCAUCAUGCGGGGGCUUCUGUGUGCACAUGUUAUAUAUAGUUGUGUAAAGCAUCAUGUACUCUUCAGAGUUGAAAGAAUCUUGCUGUCCUUCUAAAAUUUUCUUCGACUUUCUAACUCCCUUCUGCAUAAACUCCCAUCCUUCCUCCAACUCAAUAAUCUUCAUCUGGCUCAUUGCCAUCUUAGAUGCAUGUGUUUUAUUGCCACC
rnacentral:lncRNA from 1 species